rnacentral:rRNA from 2 species
AAUCCAUAGGUUAAUGAGGCGAACCGGGGGAACUGAAACAUCUAAGUACCCCGAGGAAAAGAAAUCAACCGAGAUUCCCCCAGUAGCGGCGAGCGAACGGGGAGGAGCCCAGAGCCUGAAUCAGCAUGUGUGUUAGUGGAAGCGUCUGGAAAGGCGCGCGAUACAGGGUGACAGCCCCGUACACAAAAGCGCAUGUGCUGUGAGCUCGAUGAGUAGGGCGGGACACGUGGUAUCCUGUCUGAAUAUGGGGGGACCAUCCUCCAAGGCUAAAUACUCCUGACUGACCGAUAGUGAACCAGUACCGUGAGGGAAAGGCGAAAAGAACCCCGGCGAGGGGAGUGAAAAAGAACCUGAAACCGUGUACGUACAAGCAGUGGGAGCACCCUUUGGGUGUGACUGCGUACCUUUUGUAUAAUGGGUCAGCGACUUAUAUUCUGUAGCAAGGUUAACCGAAUAGGG